rnacentral:rRNA from 1 species
GAUGAACGCUGGCGGCGUGCCUAAUACAUGCAAGUCGAGCGAACAGACGAGGAGCUUGCUCCUCUGACGUUAGCGGCGGACGGGUGAGUAACACGUGGAUAACCUACCUAUAAGACUGGGAUAACUUCGGGAAACCGGAGCUAAUACCGGAUAAUAUAUUGAACCGCAUGGUUCAAUAGUGAAAGACGGUUUUGCUGUCACUUAUAGAUGGAUCCGCGCCGCAUUAGCUAGUUGGUAAGGUAACGCCUUACAAAGGCGACGAUGCGUAGCCGACCUGAGAGGGUGAUCGGCCACACUGGAACUGAGACACGGUCCAGACUCCUACGGGAGGCAGCAGUAGGGAAUCUUCCGCAAUGGGCGAAAGCCUGACGGAGCAACGCCGCGUGAGUGAUGAAGGUCUUCGGAUCGUAAAACUCUGUUAUUAGGGAAGAACAAAUGUGUAAGUAACUAUGCACGUCUUGACGGUACCUAAUCAGAAAACCACGGCUAACUACGU